AAAAAAUUUAGAGCCCACCCGCCAUCAGAUGCACACGACACGCAAGUUCGCGCCGAAAUUUUUCAUCCCGGCGCCACACUGGAAACUUCGCGCGACAUUUUUCAUCUACAGAUAAGAUUAGAGACAGCCCUAGAAAAUUUCCCCAUUCUAUCCUCUUCUCCACGCACCGCCGCCGCCCUCCUCCCACUUCCUCACCAUUGUCGCCGCCCUCCUGUGCCGCCAGCCUCCCUCUCCUUCGACCUCCAGAUCCAGAUGCGGCCGCUGGCCACCGGAUCCAUCCACGACCGUGCGCAACCAGAUCCAAUCGCGCCGGCCGCCUAGUUCCCAUCUACGUCAGCGAGCUCCGCCCAGCUCCCUUCUCCGAAAUCCACCGCCCAACUCCUCUCCCUUUUGUCCAGAAUAAGUGUUUCAGCUUCCGUAUUAUCUUUUUGUGAGGAAGUUUUCUAUUGCUAUUGAUAUAUCAUUACAUAUGCAGAUACGUGAAAUCACUCGGGAGGUAGCAGCAGCAGUUUCAUUUUGGUGUGGUAAGUAUCAGCCAUGGUCGUUGGGGAAAUUAUUACUCAUAAAUGUGACAAAAUGAGGGCCUUUUGCAUUUUUAGUGCAUUGUUUUAUUUAGUUUUCACCAUGCAAGAAACAGCUUUGUUCUAUCUUGUAGAUUGUAGAUUUAGGUGCUACUAUAGGUGCGUUAUUAGCAUGCCAUUGGGAGACUCAAUAGUGUCAUGGCUAUAUAGUUUGCAUAGUUGUUAGGUACCUGAUCUACUUUCAAAUUACCAUAUCUUUCUCAUGUUAAUUAUUUGCUUCCAUGUGUAACUGAAAUGUUGUAGGCCUGUAACUAAGUUUCAAAAAACAAGUUUUGUAGGCCUCGUCAGAAAAGCAACGAAUAAUCUUAUAAAGCUGGUGCAGAUGAUGUGUUCUCAAAAAGACUGCUAAAUGUGAAGAAUGUCAAUAGCUUACUGGCCGGAGACAUCAUGAUGACAUAUGGUGGAAUGUCCAAGAAACCUGAGAAGGGGAACACAUAUCCAUCCCAUGUUAGCUUGGAUGCUGCUGCUAUGGACGAUCUCUUCGGCCAUGGUAACAUUGUAGGUAGAACAAUGGUGAGAGAAAUUGUGCUUCCGGAGGAGGAUCUCUUCAGUGUACCCGUAAUGAAUAUAUGUACCUGCACUUGGGCAAGUCUGUAUAUGCCAAUUAUCAUUGUUGGAACGUGUUGAUUGUUAUAAUCUUAUUUAUAGACUGAUUCUGAAUGUGUGUAUUUGAAUAUGAAUUGGAUCGUUAGCUAAAUAUGUACUGACUGAA